rnacentral:rRNA from 1 species
GGAGCAUGUGGUUUAAUUCGAUGCAACGCGAAGAACCUUACCAAGGCUUGACAUGAACUGGAAAUACCUGGAAACAGGUGCCCCGCUUGCGGUCGGUUUACAGGUGGUGCAUGGUUGUCGUCAGCUCGUGUCGUGAGAUGUUGGGUUAAGUCCCGCAACGAGCGCAACCCUCGUUCUAUGUUGCCAGCACGUUAUGGUGGGGACUCAUAGGAGACUGCCGGGGUCAACUCGGAGGAAGGUGAGGACGACGUCAAAUCAUCAUGCCCCUUAUGUCUUGGGCUUCACGCAUGCUACAAUGGCCGGUACAAUGGGUUGCGAUACUGUGAGGUGGAGCUAAUCCCAAAAAGCCGGUCUCAGUUCGGAUUGGGGUCUGCAACUCGACCCCANGAAGU